UUUUAGAAGGCGGUUUUGUAGUGAUCACGCUGUUGUCAAAGCCACUUAGCGCCUUGUUUUCCACAGUGCAGCGUGCCGCUCAUCUGGAUAUGGUUCACACUAGUACACAGCCUGCGUUUUUCUAUCGCUCAUCUUUGAAGGCGUGAUUAAAACGUCAAAUCCCGUUCCAAUGCCUUCUUGACAGCGAGGUUGAAACUUUUCCCCUAUAAUGGGCUCCGCUAUUGAACAUUGGCUGGUAAUUUAACACUAAUGAACUGUUGUGUGAUCUUUGGGGCACGCAAGUGUAAUUGAUUUUGAAGGCACUGUUUGCGGGCACGUUGUGUUUGUGCACCAACUGGAUGAUCAGACGAUAUGAUGAUAUUUCCCCUCUUUAUACGCGACAUUUUCAUUCUUGCCUAUAGGUGGCGAUGGUGGUCUUUGCACUUGGCCCAGAAAAGCUCAUAUCGCCUAAAUUACGUGACUCUCUACUGAGUGUUGGGACCCCUCUGACUCCAGGGCAGCUCCCCUAUCCGACUUCUGAUGAAGAUGAAUCGCGUGUCGCCGCUUCUAAUGUUCUUAUUUUUUUAUUUACUUUAAACAUGAUUCUCUUACAUUCUGUAUUUUGCUCUCUCUCUCUGUCUGUCUGUCUCUCUUUCUCUCUCUCUCUUCCCGUCUGCUUUUGACCCUAUUGACUGGUAAUUGCUAUAACGACGGCAAAUGGAGGCCAGUUUCUAUGGAGACAAUAAAACUGUCAUGUAGUGAAUAAUAAAUAUUUGCGUGGCAAUUUUGUGCUCCACUGACCCCAAAAGUCAAAGACAGAAAAUAAAC
rnacentral:lncRNA from 1 species